UAUGCCACCAAAUCUGUGAUGUUAAGAUCUCUCUUUUGUUGUCGGGUUAAAGGCAUGUAUUGGUUGAGAGAGGUGAUGGUCGAAAGGGUUGGUGGAUUGGUGGAUGUAGGCUACGGUUUAGGAUUGUUUUGUGGCUAUUUUGGGUGCAGUUUGAGGGUGUGGUUUGGUGGAGUUUUAGGGUUGUGGAUGAAUGUUUUGGAUCUGUGGUAGAUGGUAGCAAAGGUUUGAUAGAAAUCAGUGGAAGUUGCAGCAAGUAUGUGCUAN
rnacentral:lncRNA from 1 species